rnacentral:rRNA from 1 species
AGUGAACGCUGGCGGUAGGCCUAACACAUGCAAGUCGAACGGCAGCACAGUAAGAGCUUGCUCUUACGGGUGGCGAGUGGCGGACGGGUGAGGAAUACAUCAGAAUCUACUUUUUCGUGGGGGAUAACGUAGGGAAACUUACGCUAAUACCGCAUACGACCUACGGGUGAAAGCAGGGGAUCUUCGGACCUUGCGCGAUUGAAUGAGCCGAUGUCGGAUUAGCUAGUUGGCGGGGUAAAGGCCCACCAAGGCGACGAUCCGUAGCUGGUCUGAGAGGAUGAUCAGCCACACUGGAACUGAGACACGGCCCAGACUCCUACGGGAGGCAGCAGUGGGGAAUAUUGGACAAUGGGCGCAAGCCUGAUCCAGCCAUACCGCGUGGGUGAAGAAGGCCUUCGGGUUGUAAAGCCCUUUUGUUGGGAAAGAAAAGCAGCAGGUUAAUACCCCGCUGUUCUGACGGUACCCAAAGAAUAAGCACCGGCUAACUUCGUG